rnacentral:tRNA from 1 species
GCUCCGUUAGUUCAAUCGGAUAGAGCAUUCGCCUUCGGAGCGAAGUGUUGGGGGUUCGAAUCCCUCACGGAGCGCCA